AUUGAACGCUGGCGGCAGGCCUAACACAUGCAAGUCGAACGGCAACAGGAAGAAGCUUGCUUCUUUGCUGACGAGUGGCGGACGGGUGAGUAAUGUCUGGGAAACUGCCUGAUGGAGGGGGAUAACUACUGGAAACGGUAGCUAAUACCGCAUAACGUCGCAAGACCAAAGAGGGGGACCUUCGGGCCUCUUGCCAUCGGAUGUGCCCAGAUGGGAUUAGCUAGUAGGUGGGGUAACGGCUCACCUAGGCGACGAUCCCUAGCUGGUCUGAGAGGAUGACCAGCCACACUGGAACUGAGACACGGUCCAGACUCCUACGGGAGGCAGCAGUGGGGAAUAUUGCACAAUGGGCGCAAGCCUGAUGCAGCCAUGCCGCGUGUAUGAAGAAGGCCUUCGGGUUGUAAAGUACUUUCAGCGGGGAGGAAGGGAGUAAAGUUAAUACCUUUACUCAUUGACGUUACCCGCAGAAGAAGCACCGGCUAACUCCGUG
rnacentral:rRNA from 1 species